ensembl:lncRNA
UAAUAUUACUUUAACUAUGUAAAGAUGUGUCACAUUUGUUUAUAUUGUGGAAUAUUACUUUAAGAAGGCAAAGAUGUGUGACAUUUGUUUAUGUGGCAUUUGUUUAACCUUGUAAAGAUGUGUUGCCUUGCCUGCCUAAGGUACCUAACUGAUCUAAUAAAAAGCCCAGUGGCCAAUAGCUAGGUGGAGGAGGAAUAGGUUGGGCUGGUGGGCAGAGAGAAUAAGGAGGAGAGAGAGAGAGGAGAGAGAAUGAGGCAGAAAGAGAAGGAGAUGCCCAGGGGCCAGCCAACCAAACAUGGAGUAGGACAUACAGAAUGAAACAAAAGUAAAAAGGCCCAAAGCAAAAUGUAGAUAAAGAGAAAUAGGUUAAAUUAAGUUACAGGACCUAGUGUGACAAGCAUAAGCUAAGGCUGAGCCUUCAUAACUAAUUUUAAGUCUCUAUAUCUUUAUUUGGGAGCUGGUUGGUGGCCCAAAAGAAAGCCUGCUACACCCUUAUUUCUAUAAAUUGCUUCAUCACAGCAGUAGGGAAGUAACUAAGACAGUGGUAUAUGCCAGUAAUCCCAGCACUCGGAGGCAGAAGCAAGAAGAUCAGAAGUUCAAAGAAUUCAAAGCCAGCCUUGUCUACAUAACAAGCUUGAGGUGUCAGAAGAGGACACUGGAUCACUUGGAAUUGUAGUUAUGGGUAGUUAUGAACCACCAUGUGGGUGCUGGCAACCAAGCAAAAAAUGGUAUUACCCUAUGAAAACUCAUCUCCAGAAGUCAAAGGACACUCCAUGGGUAGAUACUUAAGAAGAUAAGGUAGCUAUAACCAUCAAACAAAAGGAAAGUGCCAUAUGGUAAACUUUACAGCUGUCUCUCAGAGAACUCUAUUUCUCUUUAUUUCCUAGUCCCUAUUCAAUUAAACCAAUGCUGGAUUUAGAGUUGGAUUUGGCUUUCCUCCUCUAAAAUCCAAGCAUGUUUGUUGUUUAACUAAACUUUAGAGUUUCUGUAUUGUAUCAAGAAGCCAAUUGAUGUAAUACAGAAUAAGAAAGAAUUUGGAGACUGUCUUUGUCUUACCUUGGCUCUUUCUUUCAAGGUACACCCUCUCAUAAUUGUUAUUCUCCCAUUGUUGUCUUUUCCAGUAUGCAUAUUUAUACAAGCAAGCAUUCCUCUGCUAACAUUUAUGUUUGAGUCCCACACAGCCAAUGAAGACCUGCCUGACAGCAAUCCCUGGACACCCUGGAAAGAAAAUGGUCUACAUCUCCUCGACUGCACUGGGAUCCAACUUGCUCCAUUUCAACUGACACUCCGGCCAGAGGUUCGGGUACUGACUUCAUUCAAGUUGAGGAUUUCAAGCAAGAUCUUCAAUUAAGCGAAUCCCAACUAACAUGGACUGGAUACGAUCCAUUCAAGACUUUCACUAUACUAACAUUUUCUUCCUACAGGACCCUACAAGGCUGUUGUCAUCCCAUUUCAGCAGGAAGUAACUUGGAGGAUGCUAUGCCCCCAUUUCCCCUAUUGUUGUCAUUUAGGAUAGUGUAUAUACCUAGUUAGGGAUAGCUUCCUAUUGUUUAUGGUUGAGAUUGGAAGGAGGUAUUCAGGCUUGGACACCUUUUUCAGAUGACUUUAGGGUUUAGUUAAAAUAGACAUAGUUAGGAUGUGACAUAAGCAGAUUGUUGUAUCUUCUUAUAUUUCACCUUUAUGAUUGUUAAUUUUGGAUACUUUACACGGUUAAGUUUUAAUCCUCUUUUAAACUAAAAGGGGAAUUGUAGGGGAUGUUAUAGCCACGCCUGCUUAGGGGCUGGCUACAGGUGUGCCUGACCACGCCUGCAAGGGCGUGGUCAGGGGGACUAGAGUGAGGGAUGCUUACUUGAUGGGCUGCUUUUGCUUUCAUCUUUGGCUUGCUGUAUGAACUGCUGCCCCACUGGCUGGCUAGGUCACUCUGUAAGUAAGGCUUUUCCCUAUUAAAUUCCCUUGUAUUUUUACCUGGCUCCAUAUUGGUAAUUUACCACAUUAUAUAUGUGUGUAAUGUAUAUGUGUGUGUUUUAAAUACACACACAUACUUUUAAAGAGAAAACAGGUCAAAUUUCAAUGUGACUCUUUUUGUAUUAUUUUAUGUAACGAAAGUUAAACAGGAA